ACUUCAUCACCUUCUUACAAUUAGGAAAAUCAUUUAGAAAUUACUAUAGAGAAUCGGUUUAUUUUGAAAAUUUUAGUAUAGUAUUUAUAUUCGUUACUGUAAAUCAUACUUGAGGAGUGUUUUAAUCUUGUUCUUGUGAUAUUGUUCAUAAGGGACCAUACUUGUAUAUAUAUCUUGUUUGGGUGGUAGCACUUGUUUGGGUUCACAAGAUCCACGGGUUUUUGGUUAAUUCGAAAGGCUUUAACCUGUGUUCUAACCUUCUGAACAGAAUAGCAAACAAACGGUCUGACUUUGAUAGAUAUCACUGAAUAUGUUUAGCUUUCUUAAAAAGUUGUCGUAAUCGGCCACUGCCUUUCGAAUAUACGUGGUUUCACCUAACCGAUCACAUGUUAAGUGCUGUUCAUAAAAAGGUUUACCAAUUUCACAUAGUUCUCGCAACGUGAACAAGAGUCUGACAGCUGUAAGUCGACCAUUAUGGCGAUCUUUUACAGGUCACAUAUUUAGACAAGGCCCCUUCAUUUCAAGCGGCCAGAAGGAUACUCAUAUUCGACAUAAUACCCGACCUUAGAGUUGCCUUUCAAGGAACUUCAUGAAGUCCUCCAUGUUGUUUUCUAGCUCCGAUUCGAUUUUGUCACCAGCGGUAAGUUCUUCGAUCCGACGCUCGACGUAUUCGAGCUGGCUCAGAUUCUAGUCAUAUAUUGUCACCAUCAAAUCUUCGAGUAAAUAGUGACGCCACUGAAUCCCCAUGCUCUCGAGGCACGCCAGGCAUGUGCCGCGAAAUCGACGCUUCUGUCUCACUCGUUCGGCCUUAAGAUUUCCGAUGCGUGUUGCCAUCUCGUUGUAGCAGCGAACCAUUUCUCACCUUUAUUCUGCCUAUUUAUUAAAAGCUUGUCGAAGACAUUGAACUUCUAUUGCCUCAGGCCUUGCCGAAAGCUGUCAAGUCAGCUAGUUUGCUCGCCAUGUUAACUUUCAGAUCACAUAUGCGCUCAUCAGGAACCUUGCGUGUCACUUCGGUCGAUUUGGCAUUUUGAGUCGUGAUUUUGACACACAAAGCAGGACCCUCAGAGACGGCCGUAAAGGGUGAGGAAUAUCGGGUCGAUGCACGUUCUAGAAGCGAUGGCUGCUGAUGCGCUCUCGUGGCUGACGAAAUCUUCUCGACAAUCGUGUGAUAUCAAGUUUUGGCAAAACGAUUAAGCGUAAACAAAUAUCUGGCGCGUUUUGUUUCAUACUACUAUUUUCACUCAUCUUCGGCGGCUACUUAGCGGCCUGCGAGGAGGAACUUGUCAUGUGGCGCGAAUGUUCACGUCUCUUGUGAAUAGAUAUAUCAGUAUUAGAUUAACAACAAAGAAGUUACCUAUGUGCGAAUCGAACGCACCCUAUAACCGGACAUCCUUCGACAGCGUAACAAACAAAAGAAAUCUGUCAGGAUCUGUCUAUACGGACCGGAACACUCUCGUCCGAGAAGUCGAUUGCGUAAAAGCAACGCUUUAGAUAAAAAAAAAAAAAGAAACUUCAGGUAGUUCACUAUUAGUCGCUCUACAGGAUUCACUGUGAUAGUUUUUCCGUUUAUACACCCAGCAUUUUUCAUACUUGCUGCAGGAACGUCCUCUGAUAAAACAUGUUAAAAUUAAACCUAAUGGAAUAGACUAAUAGACCACGAAGUUAAUAUCUCGACGUUAGACGCAAUAGCCACCCCUCAUUCAAACAAGCGCCGCCUGACCCCAAGCGCAGAUCUCUGCAGGGACUCGAUUUCGGAAUCAUGGUUCGCUACUUUAGACACUUCUGGUUUCAGGAAACACAGGGUCGUAUCGACACUCUCAGAAAUAAACUGCUCCAAGCUCACACAGAAGAAAUGGAUUCGCGACGACGGCAGGCGGAGCUUAUCGAAGAUAUCGAGUAUAA